rnacentral:rRNA from 1 species
AUUUUUGCCAUGCCAAUGCCAUUUUUAUGGCUUGUAAAUUCAUAUAAGUGCUCACUAGCACCUGUCCCAAUGGUUGGCUUAAUUUUGUUAAACCUAAACACUAUGCCUGAGCCUCUCGAGUCCUGAUCACUACCAAUACCACUAUUUUGGGAUAGUUCCCUAUAAUUUAGGUCUUCAGUAGGCCUCAAGGACUAGUUAUCAUUGCUGCUAAGCCUUAUCUUUCUCAAACCAAAACUUGUAUUUAACUGAGAGACAACCCUAAGCGUAGACCAGCAUGCGGAUCGUGACACAUGCAUAAGCCUUAACCAUCAUCAAGAUAUGUUGGCCCUUGGUUUUGGCACAUGUUGGCUUUUUAUGUGAGCAGUUCUUUUGAACACCAUUGGCACAUGCUGGGCCACAUACCAUGCAAAGAAGCUGAUUCAUAGAAUCCCUCACGGGUGCAUCAUCGACCGACCUUGAACUUCUGAUAAGGGUUUGAGUGUGAGCAUGCUUGAGUAGGAUGAACUAUACUUGAGUGAGGUGAAGUUCAAGGAAACUCUAGUGAAGGCUCGUAGUGAUACUAUCAUGCAAAUCAUUCGUCUAACUUGGGUAUAAGGGUAAAAGAAUAAUGGAACUAUCUAGUAGUUAGUUUUGUCUAAAGUUUCCCUUAGGAUUAUUAGAGCCCUUAACGAGUUCUAUCGGGUACAACCAAUGCUUAAAGGCAUUAAGGGUGCAAUGCCCUCAACCUAUUCUCACACUUUAAAUAGGCAUGAUGGCACAAUUGCUUCGUUAAGCUAUGCCAUGGAAUUAAGAGCUCCAAGUAGGCCAUUUUUAGUAAGUAAAACUGGUGAUAUGGGAUGAACUAAAAGUUGAGUUAAGGUGCCUAACUACUUGCUAACCUUGAACCCAUAAAGGGUGUUGGUAAUUAAGAUGAUAGGACAAUGGUCAUAGAAGUCAAAAUCUACUAAAAAGUGUGUAACAACUCUCCAGCUGAAUCAAUUAGCCUAAAAAAUGGAUGGCGCUUAAGCACGCGAGUCAUACCCAAUCAUCAGGGCAAAAGCUAGGCCCUAAUGAGUAGGAGGCCAUGAUGGUCACUACAAAACCUUAGGCAUGAGCCCGAAUGAAAUGGCUGUCAAUGUAAAUCUUGGUGGUAGUAGCAAAUAUUCAAAUGAAAACUUUGAAAGCUGAAGAGGGGAAAUGUUCAAUGUGAACAGCACUUGUACAUGGGUUAAUCAAUCAUAAAGGAUGGGGGAAGCUUGCCUUACUGCACAUCUAGUGCAAGUUUUGAAAGGGAAUUAGGUUAAAAUUCCUAAACUAAGAUGCAAUGGCUGACAAUAAUGUUAAGGAGUCUAGAGACGUUAGUGGAGGCGUCAAGAAAAGUUAUCUUUUUUAUUUAACGACCUACGUUGUUUAAUGGCCUACCCAUGUAGGAAAUAGCUUAGUUGAAGGUGGUGUCCAAUAGCUAAAAGAGCACCAUACGUUAUGUGGUGUUUGAUGCACCACUUGUGAUCUUUGAAAAUCCAAUGGAUUGAGUACCAUCCUUGCCUUGUUAUACUCAUAACUGCAUUAGGUCUCCAAGGUGAAUAGCCUCUUAUCGAGGGACCAAUGUAGGCAAGGACCAAUGUAGGCAAAGGAAGUUAGCAAAAUGGAUAUGCAAACUUAGGAAAAAGAUUGGCUCUGAGGGCUAGGCAUACGGGUCCCAAUCUUAACCCGUCAACUAUCAGUGCACUACUCAAGCUAUUCCCAUGACAAAAGUGGGUUGCCACAUGCCAAUCGGGGGAUGAACUGGGAAUAGCUCCCUCGAGUGCCUUCUCUGGCAAUAAAUAGUCGACUUAGAAUUGAUAUAUACAUGGGGAAUCUGACAGUUUAAUUAAAACAAAGCAUUACGAUGGUCUUUCCAAAUGCUCAUGCAAUGUGAUUUCUACCUAAUGCUUUAAAUGUCAAAGUGAAGAAUUUCAACCAAGCAUAAGUAAAUGGUGGGAAUAACUAUGACUCACUUAAGGUAGCCAAAUGCCUUGUCAUUUAAUUACUAAUAUGCAGGAAUAGAUUAACGAGAUUCUCGCUAUCCCUAUCUACUAUCUAGUGAAACCACAGCCAAAUGAAUAGGCUUGGUAAAAUAAACGAGGAAAGAAGACCUCGUUGAGCUAGACUCUAGUCUGACUUUGUCAAAUGACUUGAGAGGUACAAGAUAAAUGGGAACCCUUGAAUAAAAUUGAGAUACUACUACUUUUAAUGUUAUUUUACUUAUUCCAUGAAUCAGAGGUGAGGCACGACCCUUUCCUUUAAAUCCAAGGCUAACCUCAGUUGAUUAAUUCAAGCAAAAAACAUUGUCAAGUGGGGAGUUUGGCUAGGGUAGCACAUCUGUUAAAAGAUAAUGCAGAUGUCCUAAGAUGAGCUCAAUGAGAACAAAAAUCUCAUGUGCAAUAAAAUGGGUAAAGGCUUGUUUGAUUUUGAUUUUCAAUAAGAAUAUGAACCGUGAAUGAGUGGCGUAUUGAUCCUUUAGACUUUUGAAAUUUGAAGUUAAAAGUGUCAAAAAAGUUAACACAAGGAUAACUGGCUUGUGACAGCCAAGCGUUCAUAGCGACGUUGCCUUUUAAUCCUUUGGUGUUGGCUCUUUCUAUCAUUAUGAAAUAGAAUUCACCAAUUGUUGGAUUAUUCACCCACCAAUAAGAAAUGUGAGCUGGGUUUAGACCAUCAUAAGAUAGGUUAGUUUUACCCUAUUGAUGGUAGUGUUGCAAUAGUAAUUUAACCUAGUAUGAGAGGAACUAUUGAUUCACACAAUUAAUCAUUGCGCUUGGUUGAAAAGCUAGUGGUGCGAAGCUGUCGUGCAUUGGAUUCUGAUUGAAUGCCUUUAAGUUAGAAUCUAGACUAGAAAUGACACAGUUACCCUUCACCAAAUUCCAACCUACAGUCGAGGCCCAUAGCCCCUAAAGUCACUUAUCACAAGUGUAGCCCCAAUAGUGGAUAAGUUGUGUGGGUCUUCUUAGUGCUCAAUUCCAAUCGAAUGGAUGGGUAGAAUCCUUUACAAAUAACUUAAAUAUAUGAUGGGGUAUUGUAAAUGGCAGAGUGGCCUUGCUACCAUAAUCCGCUGAGAUUCAACCAUUUGUUGUGUUGAUUCAU